GAUGAACGCUGGCGGCGUGCCUAAUACAUGCAAGUCGAGCGAACGGACGAGAAGCUUGCUUCUCUGAUGUUAGCGGCGGACGGGUGAGUAACACGUGGAUAACCUACCUAUAAGACUGGGAUAACUUCGGGAAACCGGAGCUAAUACCGGAUAAUAUUUUGAACCGCAUGAUUCAAAAGUGAAAGACGGUCUUGCUGUCACUUAUAGAUGGAUCCGCGCUGCAUUAGCUAGUUGGUAAGGUAACGGCUUACCAAGGCAACGAUGCAUAGCCGACCUGAGAGGGUGAUCGGCCACACUGGAACUGAGACACGGUCCAGACUCCUACAGGAGGCAGCAGUAGGGAAUCUUCCGCAAUGAGCGAAAGCCUGACGGAGCAACGCCGCGUGAGUGAUGAAGGUCUUCGGAUCGUAAAACUCUGUUAUUAGGGAAGAACAUAUGUGUAAGUAACUGUGCACAUCUUGACGGUACCUAAUCAGAAAGCCACGGCUAACUACGUG
rnacentral:rRNA from 1 species